rnacentral:rRNA from 1 species
UACGUAGGGUGCGAGCGUUAAUCGGAAUUACUGGGCGUAAAGCGUGCGCAGGCGGUUUUGUAAGUGGGGUGUGAAAUCUCGGGGCUUAACUCCGAAACUGCAUUCGAUACUGCCGUGCUUGAGGACUGGAGAGGAGACUGGAAUUUACGGUGUAGCGGUGAAAUGCGUAGAUAUCGUAAGGAAGACCAGUGGCGAAGGCGGGUCUCUGGACAGUUCCUGACGCUGAGGCACGAAGGUCAGGGGAGCAAACGGG